UACGUAUGGGGCAAGCGUUAUCCGGAAUUAUUGGGCGUAAAGAGUGCGUAGGUGGUUACCUAAGCGCAAGGUUUAAUCUUGAGGCUCAACCUCAUUCUGCCUUGCGAACUGGGCUACUUGAGUGCAGGAGGAGAAUGCGGAAUUCCCAGUGUAGCGGUGAAAUGCGUAGAUAUUGGGAAGAACACCGGUGGCGAAGGCGGCUUUCUGGACUGUAACUGACACUGAGGCACGAAAGCGUGGGGAGCAAACAGGAUUAGAUACCCUGGUA
rnacentral:rRNA from 1 species